rnacentral:rRNA from 1 species
CCAAUAGCGUAUAUUAAAGUUGUUGCAGUUAAAAAGCUCGUAGUUGAAUUUUAGGCCUGACCGGGCGGUCCGUCUCUGGCGAGUACUGUUCUGUUGUCGGGUCUAUCCUUCUGGUGAGCCGGUAUGUCCUUUAUUGGGUGUGUCGGGGAACCAGGACCAUUACCUUGAAAAAAUUAGAGUGUUUAAAGCGGGCUUUUGCUUGAAUAGAUUAGCAUGGAAUAAUAGAAUAGGACGUUGGUUCUAUUUUGUUGGUCUAGGACCACCGUAAUGAUUAAUAGGGAUAGUUGGGGGCAUUAGUAUUCAAUUGUCAGAGGUGAAAUUCUUGGAUUUAUUGAAGACUAACUACUGCGAAAGCAUUUGCCAAGGAUGUUUUCAUUAAUCAAGAACGAAAGUUAGGGGAUCGAAGACGAUCAGAUACCGUCGUAGUCUUAACCAUAAACUAUGCCGACUAGGAAUCGGGCGACGUUAUUUUCAUGACUCGCUCGGCGCCUUAUG